rnacentral:rRNA from 1 species
UACGGGGGGGGCAAGCGUUGUUCGGAAUUACUGGGCGUAAAGGGCUCGUAGGCGGCCAACUAAGUCGGAUGUGAAAUCCCCAGGCUUAACCUGGGAACUGCAUCCGAUACUGGAUGGCUUGAAUCCGGGAGAGGGAUGCAUAAUUCCAGGUGUAGCGGUGAAAUGCGUAGAUAUCUGGAGGAAUACCGGUGGCGAAGGCGGCAUCCUGGACCGGCAUUGACGCUGAGGAGCGAAAGCUAGGGGAGCAAACGGG